CACCAGGUGCUUCCAGGUUGAGUGUAGCCCUCCAAGUGAAGUAGAAGUUUAUGAGUGUGUUCUUUAUGACUGUGAUUAGGAAUUGAUUUACAGCAUAGUGAGUUAAUCAAUCCAUCCAUAAAAUCUGCAAAUAGCCUCAUCUACCAAACACACAUACAGGUGUCCCUCUAACCUUUAGGUGGCAGCAGUUAUCCACUGACAAAUUCAAUUUCAUGCUCUGGUGACAGAAAAGCAAGAUGUAGCUUUGACUCUUGAACCUUCUGUCCAUGCUGACAAGACCUUUUAUACAUUCAACUUUAAAGUCUUUAUAAAGCUCCAUUAGGGAAAGUCUCUUUUUCUCCCCUCUCAGUAUUGACUCAGGAACAAACGCUAAAAGAGAUUAACAAAACAGGAAGAAGUGCAGCGAGAGUUUUGCUGUCGAGGGUCAUUGGUUUUCUCGAGAUGAGAGGGACAGCUCCUGUUGAGUAAAGACAACCACGUCCCAAACCACAGCUGGAACUCCUGAGGCGUCUGACAGUAAGACAUCACUGGUAUCUGGAGGGCAGCCAAGCCCACAGAUGUUGAUGGGUACGUACAGAAAGUCAAGGUCAAGACUAAAAACUCAGACAGGCAGCUAGUGAAAUCAGCUGAGGAGCUGCGUGAUGACUCAAGUGUCUCAUGAGGCAAGGGUUCCUGCUGAUUGUUGCUGUGAUGAGGCCGCUGCAGGUUCAGGAGUAAAGAAAGUCAAAAACAUUCACGAGGUACUCAAAGAAAAUUGGGUUCAAGUUUGAGUCAUGAGAGUAAAAAAUGAAAGCUUUCAGCCGUUUCAGAGUUUGACAUUCUCCAUUGCAUUUCCCUGAGAUCAUUUAUUUGGUCCUUUUGACAUUUAAAAACAGUGUAGUUUAUGCCCACCACAAAUUUAGAGACAGAGAGGAUGUUAAUUUUUCUCAUUAAAAGUCUAAAGAAUUUUUUUAAAUCCGUACCAGAAAACAUUAGUUACUUGGCAUUCUGCUUGAUUUAUGACAUUUUAAUUUGUAAUUUUUUAUUAAUCCACUAAUCAUUAUACUUCAGCUGCAGCACACACAAAAACAAGUUAACAAAUUUACCAGGGAACAAGAGAUCGAAAUGAAACAAAAGGAAGUUUCUUGAAGGCGCUGUGAAAAGUUUGUACUGAUUUUGAAAAAGCCUCAUUGUCAUUGCAACCUACAUGGUAGAAUAACAUGAACUGUUCUGAUAUCAGCUGUUUCUUUAAACUGAAAUUUAGUGUCUGUGUACAGGUACUGAGCAAAGUUAACAUGGCACUCAACCAUGAGUGUGCACGUUUACUUUUAAGACUAAUACUCAUGGCUUAAACUGGAGCAGAAUAAGUACAAAGACAUAUGUUUUCUGAUGAAGUAUUGUUUUAGACAGAAGAAACUCUUAAAUUGAGGCUUUGCAAGGUGAAGGGGCACAUGGCUAUGACUUCUCUUCAAAGAUAUAGGAGUGAAAAUGGACAAGAGUAUUGGUUAUAUGACACCAGGUUUGAUGGAUAAUGUUAAACAAGAACAGCUGGUCAUUUUUAGGGGAUAACUAACAGCAGUUAAUCAGAGUUUACAAAGUUUUGUCAUUGUUAGGUUACACUAAAUAAUCAAAGAAGUACAAAGAAGAAAAUCUGAUUUUUCCAAAAGGAGUCACCAGAAUCAACACAACAUGAAAACUCCUCACAACACCUUUAAAAGUUGAAUUCACUAGUUUUGUAUUUGUUUUGAUACAUUAUUACCUACACUGUUAUAUACAUAGGUUUUGUUAUAGAUUAUUGUAGGUGUCAAGCCCACCUGGUUGAAAUAUGUCAAACCACCGGUGUUUGUUUGGUGUGUUCAGGCAAAUUCAGCUAAAUAAUUCAUGACAAACUUACUUCCAACAGCUUGACUUUGAGGUAAAAACGACCUAAAUUUGUAUUUUCUGUAACUUUAAAAAGGUUCUCUCACAAGCUCCACCUAUUAUUUACAGUUUUAAAUCAACAUGAUGUUGAGACGACCUGUCAGAUAAUGUCCUCUUACAGUCAGAGAGUCACACACGCAGCUCAAAAACUGCAAAUGUAGAUUCUGAGACAACAUUGUUUAUAUAGACGAGGACAGGCAAACACCUGCUGUUUCAAUGCUGGCAUAAGCACAGUUGUCAUAAUAAUAACAGAACUAAUGAAGCUACAGUAACACAUUAAAGGGGGUCAUAUUUUUCAUUGGUCUAUUUCACCACAUAACUGAAUCAUCAGUCAGCUCAGGCUCCAACUCAGGUGUUAGUAUUUGUCUUUGCACUCCCAGCAGAAACUGUGUCUGUCUAUAGACCUUAAAUCAAGCUACUCACCCAUGUUUUAUAUUGUUUGCUAGUGAGUCUUCUCCUCUGCUUUUGUAAGCGAGGCCAUGUGUGUAACUACAUCAGUCAGGGAGCUCAGGGAGAAAACACAAGUUCACCUUUUGAAGCAAAAACACUGAGACACAAAUAUUGUGAGGCAGGGAGGGAAAAGGAGAAUAAUAAAAGCAGCCAGCAUAAAUAAGUCUGCAGAUAUCUCCUCACUGCUGCAGUAUUAGAUCACAGAGUCCACAUUUGACCGUCCAGUGCUAUUUGAGGCCAUUUCCAGACACAGUAAUCUCCCGCUUAUCAGAUGUCUUGCUAUACAUAAUGCAAUCAAUAUCAACCAGACCGCAAACAAAAAACUGUCGCGUGAGUAUUCUGUAACAAGGCGUGCGUCAAUAUCGGUAACACAGACUGACAGAGUUACAAACAGCUGAGUCUGCCUGACUCAACAGCUGAGUCUCCUUUACGCUGCUGGUCAUCGGCAUUACAACUGCAUGAAUUAUACACACUGCUGUAACCAUAACAAUGAACUCUGACCUUCACUGUGAAGGUGUGGCUGUUUAAGUGAGAGAAACAACACACUUACAGUCAAGCCCUCAACCAUGAUCCUACACUCAACUUCUGAGACACGGUUAAGGCUGCGAGGGGGAGCAUGUGGUACGAGAGCACGGAGAGAUUUGUAGACGUUUGUAUUUAAUGUUUUCCCCGGCAAAGGCCAAUAUUUUUCAGACCCCUAAUGAACUUUUUAAAGGUUUUCCAAUGAAGAUUUGUAGCAUAAGUCAUGAUAAUCAUGAUAAAACCAUUUUUUGAGAUUUUUACAGAUAGAUAGAUAGAUAGAUAGAUAGAUAGAUAGAUAGAUAGAUAGAUAGAUAGAUAGAUAGAUAGAUAGAUGACUUUAUGUAAUUGUUGUUUGUAAUUAUAUUUCCCCUCUGUUAGAUAAUGACUUAAUGCGUCCUUUCAUCAAUUAUCCAUCGACAAAGACUUCAAAUCCCCCCGUGCAGACCCCUUUGAAGAGUCUCAUGUUCAGCCUUAUCCAAAAAGACCCCCCUCUUACUGCCUUCUCUCUAAUCCUGACGGAUACACGAGCCCCCAGACCCCCUCAAACUCUCCGAUGUCUACUUCUGCCCUUAAGUGGUUUUGUCCUUUAAGUCUGUCUCCUCUAUGUUUUAUCUUACAGCCCCUCUUUCCACUGCAGAGGACAUCUGAUACAUGAUGCAGAUGAUGGUAAUGUGUCUGGUGCUCAUGUAAAAAUAAAAUCCCCAUCUCUCUCUGAUACAGGCGAGGGUAUUAUCCUCUGUUAUGGAAAAAGGUUGGCAGUAAAUAAUGCCCCCCUAAAGCUGAAUGUUUUAGUACAAAGUUUGGAAAUAAUUUAAAGUUCUUGAUUUCUGUUAGAGCAAAAUGAAAGCAUUUCUGGUUUGCUGCAGGCUUGCACUUGCAGGCCUACAGUAUCCAAAUCAUUAUUAGAAAGAGACAGAGAGGGGGCUGGACAAGAGUCACCAUUUAUGUGUUUGAGGGCUGGUGUAAUUUCAGCUGCAGAGAUAGGAGAUGCUAAAUUUGGCACAUGUGCUACAGAGGAGUGCUCUCUGUAGCUCUGCUCGACAAGAUGACGGUGAACCAGACCAGCAGACCCAACGGCAAUCACUCUCAUAAAACAGAUUGUUCACCUUGCUGGGGUACAGCCACACACCUAUGACUAAGCAGCUAGAAGGGUUUUUUUUUUAAAGUGGUGAUUCAUGUUGUUCAGUACUGAAGCAGCUCCCUUAGUCCAAUAUUUAAUUCUUACCAAACAAUACAAGAACAGCUGGAUGUUCUGUAAUAAAUAAUAUUCAAGUCUAAGUUGAAGUCAAUAGCAAAUCCCAGUUUUGUCUUCUAUUGCAAUUACACAAUUUGCCUAAAUCGUGCAGAACCUUAGUUUACCACAUUUUACUUUCACCCAUUCAGGCACUAAAAGAAGAGGAUGUUGUGUUUAAAGUCCAAGGACCUCCAGCCCUCGUUUCCCUGCAGGACCCACGGAGCCAGAUAUCAACAGUUGUCCUCUUCAUCUUGGUCUUGCCACAGAAAAGAGCAGGUGCAUUUACCAUUUUGGCAAAUUUCAAUCUUCUUGACCGUUUCCUCAGGAUAUGGAAGACUGUAACAUGGACUAAUAAUCACCAGCAAUCCCCACCUUGUUGGCUGUUGUUUCAUUUUUGAGGUAACAAGCAAAUAUUAGCAUGCUGUAGGGUGACCAUACUCUGACUUCCCAAAAGAGGACACAACCAUGCGGGGGCGGAGUCACGGAGCCGCACAAAGUUUAUUUUGAGAGUUUUUUGAGUUAGAUCGAGUGUCUUUUACGCGCUAAGAACUUAGUAAGUCCAUGUGACACAAAAUAGAAACUUACGUACAAAACCACAGACAUUUGAAGGAUUUUAUAAACUUCCCCAAACGCAUUAUUUUUUUUUUUUUAGGAUGGUGGGGAAAGUCCUGCCUCCUUCGCCUCUGAUUGGCUAGAAAAGCUGGAAAGGUCAUCACAUGCUCAAGCCAAACCCAGGCUGUUGGCUCUGUACAUCGAACAGAACAUUACAGAACAUUAUCGCACUUCUGAAUUUCCUAACCCUAACCCUAACCCUAACUUGACAUAUGAUGAUGUUUCACAGCCAUUAGGAAGAACUAAUUGGAACCCAGCACUUCUAGCCAAUCAGAGGCGAAGGAAUUCGGGACCUUCCCCUACCAUCCUCAGACAAAGCCAGACAGCCUGGACAGCCCCCCAAAAAGAGGACAUGUCCGGGUAAAAGAGGACGUAUGGUCACCCUAGCAUGCUGAGAUGAUAAAGGAUGUUUUUUAGUGGUUAUAGUUGUAAAGCGUCAAUAUGUUUACAUCAUCCUUUUUGGCUUGUUUGGUAGAUGUCCUCUCGUCUGCUUGCUAAAUUUAGCAUGUAGCUUUAAACGCCGCUGUAAGGACUUGUAAAGCAGACAGCAAGGUUAGAGACUGUCCCCUUCUUUUUAAGUCGGACACUUUUAAAGUAAGCUAGUUAGUUUUAAAUCCAUAAAUUCAAGUGUUCAUUUUGUAUAAGAGUAGCAUCUAAGUCAUCAAAUAAUCUUCCUUAAUCAGCAGCAAGUUGUUUACAUAUUCUUUGGAGGAAAACUGUCUUCUGCCCCGCCUGACUACUGUCUGCUCUCCAGUUAUGAUCCUCCCAGAUAUGAAAGCUGAAUAUUGCUGACAUUAUUCAUGACACUCCAGGGAACAAUAACCCAGGUGACUUACUUCCAACCUCAAAAAGCAAAUAAAAAAUAUUGAGGAGAAAGUCACCCUUGGGGGAAUUUAUUUACUUACUUAGUUUAUAUUCAGGGGUGUCAGCAUUUCUCUCUGUCGCCUGGGGUGCUGAAUGUGACAACUUUGAAAUAAAAGGCCCAAAACUCUUUUUUUUAUUUUCUUAACUGCCAGGAAAGCAUAUUUAUCUGACAAACCGAUGAUACUGGUACGAAGGACUUUACUGUGUUGUGGGUGUUUGAUAAAGCAUAAGUUUGGCAGAGUCGGACUCGGGGUUCUUAAAAAAAGGCUCGUAUAAAACAGUAGAUCUAUCAUGUUGAGCCAUAAGAGUAAAAGCUAAGAAUAGGUCCUCAUCUCUCUCCUCUCUUCUCUCUCCAGAUAAAAAUAAUGACCUCCCCUUUUUAAUAAGCCUGGCCAUAAUAAAUGCAAGUUAAUCUCCCCCCCUCCUCCUCCUCGUCCAUCUAUCCAUGCCUUCUUUUCUCUGCAAAUGUCCCACUUUGUUCUCUGCUGUAAUGGUACGAGUAUUUUCAGCCCCUGAAUGGAUGGAUGAUGAACACAUUCCUUCCCCGUCAUCAGUUACCCCUCUCUGUAAUGUAAUGUAAUGAAAUGAAAUGUGAUCCUUAAUGGCUCUCUGUAGGGAAAUUUCCUUUUCACUUUCUGGCUUCACAUGAAGAGCUCACGAUCAGCGGCAGAGCAGGGGGGGACGUGGUGUCAUGUUCAAGGACACUUCAGGAAGGAUAGUACUGAUCCUCUUGUCGUGGUCACUUUACUUAUCACGAAAACUCUCAUGAAUCCAAAAGUGUGUUUUGUUUUGUUUUUUUAAAAAGUCAAAAGCAUUAAUCCACAAUGCAACAAUUUCCUACAAAGACAACGGGUCCUUGGAAAGCUUGGUCAGUUUUUGUUUGUAGUGGUGGAAGAACUUCUCAAAAGCAGCAAUAUAAGUAUGUAAAAGUUUGACAAAAAAAUAUUCAAACCUCUUUUCCAGACUUUAGAAAUAUUGUGUCCUUUUCUAUGAUGUAUGAUCAUUUCUAAAAUGAUCAGUACUGAUCCAUCGGCAUUUUACUGUCAGACUUUUACUUUAUUCAAUCCAAAUUAAUUUGAUUUCCAGUUUAAUUUUUUUCUUAUGCUGUAAGAUCAGCUUCUGAAGGAAAUUAAGAUUAGUUCAAAAUCAAUUGAACUUUAUUACAUUUAACACCUUUCAUGCGUACAAGCAUGCUGCCAAAUCUGCUUCUCAGUACUUUAGGGGGGGCAGGAGCUUUGUCUAUAGGGACUCGGCUCAGAAACCAGAGGGUUCAAGACAGUUCAGGUCCCAGUGGUAUAAUCCAACGUUUGGAGGUCAGACUAGUUGCUGGAGACGUGUCAAUUUAUUUAAGGGCCACUGCUGGGGUGCCUUUGAGCAGGGCAGCAAACCCCCAAACUACUCCAUCAGUGCAUGCAACAGAUCCAUGUUUGAAAAGAUGAAAUUAUAAAGACUAAAACAGGACUUUAACUACUUUUGAUAGUCAUUAGAAUAAGUCAAUUACACAGGUAAAGAAUUGCCUGUUUGGUCAAUUUCUAAUGAGAAGUCAAGUGUUUUAAAUGCAACUUUUCAAGGUGCAAAAAGCCAAAAUUAAAAGCUUCUGUGAAGAACUUUUAGGUUAUGAUUUUGGCACCACCUAUUGACAAAAGCGGUUCUUGUUUCUUUUUAUUAGUGUUAUGUACUCAAAAUGGAUUUUUUUAUUAUUUAAAUUCGAAGUAAUCCUUCACCACAGCUGUAAAAUUAAUGCAUCAGGGUUUGUCAUUUUCUCUCAGGUUUAAUUUAUUCUCUGAAAUGGAUGGAGGUAUAAAGUUGUGAUCAAUAAAAACAAUAAAGAAGACUUCCCAGUGAAACUCUACUAAAGUGGAAAACUUGAGUGAAUGUAGUUUCCACUUGGCGCUGAGAACUUACACCGAUUUCCUCCUUUGACCACACACAGCCCUGGAGAUCUCACAUCGCUCAUCUCUCAGCAGCUCCAAAAUACAUCAAUUAUUGAGUAAAUGAGAGACGAGAGCACCAGAGUCAGGCUGCUGCUGGUCGUCCAUCUCCACAGUGUCUCACUGACCUGAGUGUAGAGCAGCGGUUCUUUGAAAAGUUCACCCUGACCGUGUGAAGAAGUGAUGAGCAGCCUGGUUCGCUGAUGGAUGGAGGGUACUAUUAGUCCAGUAGCCCGGACCUGCCAAACAUAAAUAUGGUCUCUUAUUUUGGCCUUUCAGGACAGGCUGACAGGGCUGAGGUUUAUUGAAGGGGGCUGAUGAAGUGAUGGCAGGCUGGAGGGGCACAAUAAGAAUUUAAAUGUACAUCCAAGCCCUGAAAACUUUUUUAUUUGGCUCAAAUAAAGCCCUUUCACAACAAAGGAAAAAAGAAAACGUUAAGGGAAAGAUUUAUUGUAAGCUAUCUUGUAGACAAAUGGAACAAAUUCUCCUUUUUCCAAAACACUUUAUCAGCACAGUGCCUCUGAAACUGGAUCCCCUGAAACUGAUUAACCCCUUCUAACAGGACGGGCUGCCGGCCAGCGUCUUGGCCCUGCCUC